rnacentral:tRNA from 1 species
GGGGUUGUGGCUCAGUGAUAGAGCACUUGCCUAGCACAUGCAAGGCCCUGGGUUCGAUCCUCAGCACCACA